GACGAACGCUGGCGGCGUGCUUAACACAUGCAAGUCGAACGGUGAAGGGGAGCUUGCUCCCCGGAUCAGUGGCGAACGGGUGAGUAACACGUGGGCAACCUGCCCCUGACUCUGGGAUAACGCUUCGAAAGAGGUGCUAAUACCGGAUACGAACUCCCUUGGCAUCUUGGGAGUUGGAAAGUUUUUCGGUCAGGGAUGGGCCCGCGGCCUAUCAGCUUGUUGGUGAGGUAACGGCCCACCAAGGCGACGACGGGUAGCCGGCCUGAGAGGGCGACCGGCCACACUGGGACUGAGACACGGCCCAGACUCCUACGGGAGGCUGCAGUAAUGAAUCUUCCGCAAUGCACGAAAGUGUGACGGAGCGACGCAGCGUGAGGGAUGAAGGCCUUCGGGUUGUAAACCUCUUUCAGCGGGGACGAAGCGAAAGUGACGGUACCCGCAGAAGAAGCACCGGCUAACUACGUGCCAGCAGCCGCCGUAAAAC
rnacentral:rRNA from 1 species